AAGCCAUGAUGUGGACAACUUCUGAUCAUCUCCUGUAAUCUCUCCCAGGCUUCAGGUAUACUUUCUUGCUCUCUUUGCAUGAAAUUCCCAAUGUCCUUUAUGUAU
rfam:Glycine max cultivar Williams 82 chromosome 1, whole genome shotgun sequence.